AAGUGCCUGAAAUGCACUACCAAAGGAGGUGGUGGAGGAGCUUACAAUCACAACAGAUAUGAAUAGGCAGGGAGAAGAGGCAUACGGACUGCACAGAAGCAAAAGAUUUUAGUUUAGAAAGGCAUUGUGUGUUGGCGCAGUCUUGGUUGGCUGAAGGUGCUUUACUGUCCUUUGUUCCUUGUUCAAUUUCUGCAUCACUGCUUUUUUGUUUAUGAAUUGAAUUUCUGAAGGACAUUAUAAUUUUUUCUGAAUGAAAGCUGUUUUAAUAAUAAUAACUUGGACCACAGCUUUCAAUUCUGUAGAGUUUAAAAUGCGUAUGAAAUUAGAACUUAUGUUCCAGUAACUUGUGAGAUGGGCAGUGGAUAUUAGCAUGGAGCCAAAUUUGUCCUUCUGUUCAAAAUACAUUUAGUAUUGUGUGAUAUCUUUCCAGAGCAGAAGAAAAGAAGAGCCUCCUCCUAUUUUUCAGAACUCUUUCAACCUUUGCAAAAUGGUAUGAGUUCCGCCAAAUUACUUUCAAACAUUUCAAGGAGCAGUACCCAAAGGUAGUCAGACUUCCAGAGGGACCAAACUCUGAAUAUAUGGUACUGGAAUGCUCCAAAGUUCCUGGGAUCGAGCUAAAGAUUUUCUGGAAAAUAUUUGUAAGUGAAGAAGGAGUUGUUAUUCCAGUGCUGGAUCUCUUACCAAAAAUACCUGUGGAGGCACUGGACUUCGACACAGAGAAAAUUGUGGACAACGCACCCAACAGUUUUAGAAAUCUUAUACGCUUGUUUGGAAUUGAGGCUGCUAUAGAUCACUUAAUUAAACUUAUGUGAAAGGAAGCUUAAUCUAUGUUUUUCACAAGAAAAUAGUGAUUUACAAUCCAGAAACAAAAGUUUUUUUUAUUCUGUCAAUAAAAUCUGCUUUCGUUACUACA